CAUGGAGCCUGCCUGGGUAGAGGGGGGCGCUGCCUUCUGCCCAGACCCAGAGGACCGGAGGCAGGUCCGGAGCGCCUGGCCAUCUUUCCUCCCCAAGUCCGGGGCCUGGGGCAUUUGACACUGUCAAUAAAUCCUGCGGACCCGGGGUGCGCAGCGAUCCUAGCACAGCCAGCAGCCUGACCCAACACAGCCAGCACUGCUCUCUCUCGUAACCGGGACCAGCUUGGGGAGCAGAGACUUGAUUUGUAAACCCAAGGACAGAAACUCGCUUCAACACAGCCUGGCAAUCUCUCAGCCUGGAUGGAUUGUGUGGAUCUGGCCCGAGACAGUGUAGCGCCCUAGAGCACUUCUCACCUGCCUGAUCCCCGUCCACACAGCCGCGGGUUGGAGCUGGGGUUCUUAAGUCUGACUCAACCUACUUUCAUACCGCACUGGAGCCUCCACCAGACGGCUGAGUCCUAGCACGGGCAUAGGGGUGAGCUUUGAGCUGCUCAGCUCCAGCCCAGGGCCCCUGGAGAACUCACACUAAAGAACCCAGUGCAGUCCACACCCUGCUGUCAUCGUCAACUCAGGCACCAGGAAACAACCACGCGUCACACAUGUACACACACCUGGGUGUGAGAGCCAAGUAAAGUUUCCUCCCCAUAACUGUCCCUAAGGUCAGCCGCCUCCCCCCUCCUGUCUGCAGACUCUGCCUCUUAACAUCUGGGGCCUUGUCUUGCCAGAACCCUAGAACUGUUGAGCCCAGCCCAAUUUUUUCUUUAGAAUUUUCCCUCCUCUCUGCCCCUUUCCUGUAACCCUCACCCUCCACAUAGGACAUGUCAGCUUCUGGACCUGGUCCCCUACUGGCCCUUCAUUUCUCAUCUGAUCUAUUAGAGAAAUGUCCUCCCAGCCAUGCUCCCACCUAGACACAUUCAGGACUGCAGGCCUGCCCCCUGUCACUGACCUCUCACCCUCAUGGUAGGGUAGGCCACCAUACUCCUUAUAUCUUGAGAUUUCAGCUUUCUCUCAUUUCUGACUACAUCAGUUCUCAAACAUAAUCAUUUUUAUAGUUUAUCAGAUAUGCAUCAGAAUUUUGUUACUUUUCCCUUGCUGGCACAGCUUCAGCUCUGUAUGUCCUGAGCACUUAUCCAGGUGUCCCUCCCUCCCUCGCUACUUCCCCAUUCUUCUCUGUCCCUUAGAACUGGAGACCAAGGCCAAGGCCACUCUACUCCUCUUACCCUUUACCUCAAUCAGUGGGAAUCUGAGCUCGGGAAUAACCAGGACUUCUGGUUCUUUUUUCCCCUCAGACUUUACCUAUUUCACUGAGGCCCCAUAGUGUUCCUAUUUCCACCUCCAGGCUCACACAUACUUCAUCCCUCACGUGGGUUCUAGGGUUAGAGAAGAAGCUGGGAAAGAAGCCAGCCUGCCACACACACCUGGAAGCAGGAACCAUUCCUCCCAAAUGCAUGGCUUUCUUGUUCACCUUGCACUUUGUUCCACCUACCUUGCCCUUUCAACAUUUGAGAACUUGGAACCCAGGAGUGACAGCCCCCCACUUCCAUUCUGAGUCGGAGCCAUUUAGAAAGGCAUCUUCUCUGUUGAUUUAUUUAAGAGAGAGUUUAAUUUUCUAGCCUGGGGUCAGCAGACUCGGCUGUGACCAGUUGUGUUGGCCAAGCUCAGGGGAUGUUUGUAUUGCUGCUCUCGUCACCUCUGCUCCCUUCUGGGGGUGAUAAGUGGGCAAGGAAGGCCCCAAGAGUGUGUGUGCACUUGACUGUAUAGCAUAUUGACUGCUAAACAGAAAGCUAGACUGUCUGCCUCCUCUUUGGUUUUGUUUUCUUUGGUAGAGGGGAAUUGAAUCCAUAAAACUGGAUUGGAAGAGCAGUGCAGCCACUGGCUGCAACAAAUACUUGGCAUUUACAUCUGGAUUUCUUUCUUGACGUCAGCACUGCUCCUCAUAAGAGGUUCGCAGCUAUGUCCAGUGGUUUAGGUGGCAAACGGAUAGAGCUGGCUGUAACUUAAGUUAGAGAACUUUGUUUUCUCUCAUGGGAAUCUAAGGAUUAUGAUGAAAGAGAGAAUGCCCAGAAUGAUCUAUUUUAAUUUGGGGGGUAUAUUUUUGCCCAGAAGUCCUGGGGUGAACUAACGAUCAUUAAAGAAUGCUUCCAACCCAGGGUUUUGCCUAAAACGAGUGUUUUUACUCUCCUGGGGUCUGCCUGGUGGAUCUGGCUGGGAAAAUCUCCAGCCAGUAAGUCUGAGGAGCCAGCAGCUCUGAAUUCCAAACCCAACCCUGCACCUGACUUGCUGCGACCUUACGUGAUCCUCAGCCCCUCUUCAGGCCUUAGAUUUUCAUCCGAGGAGUUAAACUACACAGCCAUGCACUUUGGCUGCUCCCCAACUGUAGGCCUUCUGGGACUCUUGAUAUUUGAUCUCAGGGCCAGCAGGGCAGUUAAAUGCCACGUUUGGCUUGAUAUCACCAGGGCCCAUCCUCGCAGUCCCAUUUGUUUUCUGGCGAACUUCAGUUCGUCACAGUUAGAGGCAUCGGGAUCGCCCGACCUCAGGAUUCUUUCUUACUCUGAAAGCAAAAGGCCUGUGAAUUUCAUUGUCAUCCAGCCCAGUUUUAAACCAUGCCAGUUUUGACAUCCUGAAUUUUAUUUGGGACUGCUUCCCCCAGUGGAUUCCUGAACACCAGGGGUGACCAAAGAAGAGAGGCCAGCAAUUCUCAAUUCAUAGCAAGCCCUGCAUGGCCAGACCUUUGUCUUUUGCCAUUGUUCUCUGUUGUGGCCCCACUGUCUCCUGCCAUGUUCUCAUGAAUACAGAUCUUUCUAGUCUACCUGCUCCCUGUUGAACAAUGUAAAUAUGAAUCUAUUAAAAAGAUACAUAGUA